rnacentral:tRNA from 1 species
GACUCCAUGGCGCAAUGGUAGCGCGUUCGACUCCAGUUAUGCUAACGUGCUGUGUCAUCGAAAGGUUGCGUGUUCAAGUCACGUUGGGGUCA